AUCCAGACGACGAGUCCCAAAUAGGACGAAACUCGCCUCUGGAU
rnacentral:hammerhead_ribozyme from 1 species